ensembl:lncRNA
AGAAAAGCUGUGAAAAAUUGGGAGAAAAUUGGUUAAAAUUUGAAGAGAAAAUUUGGGGCGAAAAUUUGGGGAGAAAAUUUGGAGAAAAUCGGUGAAGAAUUGGGAGUAAAUUGGUGAAAAUUUGUGGUGAAAAUUUGUGGAAAAAAUUGGGAGAAAAUCGGUGAAAAUUGUGGGAGAAAAUCGGUGAAAAUUGGGGGAUUUGGGCACACCUGGGCACACCUGGGCACACCUGAGGUAGAUAGGAACACACCUGGGCACACCUGGGCACACCUAGAGGGGGAAAAAUGAUGAAAAUUGGGAGAAAAUUGGUGAAAAUUUGGGGGAAAAUCGGUGAAAAUUGGGGGAUUUGGGCACACCUGGGCACACCUGGGCACACCUGGGCACACCUGUCCCGUCUCACCUGCAGCAGGUCUGGUCUGGGCCAAGGUGGGUCCCGUGGGCGCCGUCGUCGCCUUCGCCGUCGUCAUCGCCCUCGUUUGUUACCUGAGCCAGAGCCGCCGCAAGAAGGCGUCGGGAAGCCCCGAGGUGACCCCGGUGACCCCGGCGGGGGGGCGGGACCCGGAGCCACGCCCACUGCAGGUGCGCUGGCUCCGGCGUUGGGCGCUGGGGGUGGGGGAGGGGCCUGGGUCGGCCCCGCCCCCCGAGGCCGCCCCGCCCCCCCCCAAACCCGCCCGGGGCCCCCCCGAGGAGCCCCCGGAGUACGCGGAGAUCCGCGUCAAGUGACCACGCCCACCGGACACGCCCACCGCCAAUGGACACGCCCACUUCGCAAGGACACGCCCACCCCUGGACAUGCCUAUCCCACCUGGACACGCCCACCACACCUGGACACGCCCAUCACAAUUGGACACGCCCACCAAGCCUGGACACGCCCAAUUGGGCACACCUGGACACGCCCACCUGGACUCGCCCACUGCAACUAAACCACGCCCACCUCACCUGGACACACCCACUGUGCCUGAGCCACGCCUAUAAGACCUGGGAUCACCUGGACACGCCCAUAAAUUGUGGGCACGCCCACCUGAACCACGCCCACCACACCUGGACCCCACCCACUGCACCUGGACUGUGGCAAAAGCCACCUUGAGACCACGCCCACCUCACCCGGGCACGCCCACCUGGGCUUGUUCUGGCCACGCCCAUCUCCUGGACACGCCCCCUUUUUAACUUGGCCACACCCACAUGUUUUAUCUGGGCUGUGACCACACCCACUCAAUGGGCACGCCCAUUUCCCUUCUAUGACCAUGCCCACCAUGAUGUGGCCACGCCUCCACAAACAUCACCUUGGCCACGCCCACCUCUACCUGGCCACGCCCAUCUCAUUAUCCUUGUGAUCACGCCCACCCUCACACGGCCACGCCCCUUUCUCGGCCAGACCACACCCACCCGCUUUUGGCUACGCCCACCUCCCCCUCUCCUGGCCACGCCCACUUCCUGGCCACGCCCAUUUCCCUCCCCAACCACACCCCUUGGCCACACCCACCCGGUCCUCCCAGACAGGCCCCGCCCCCUUUCAUUAAUUAUUUAUUGCCCCUCAUUAAUGAAUUCAUUAACCUGUGACCUUUGACCCCCAAUAAAACCGGAAGUGCCCGAAGGGGCUGCUGGGAG